UACGUAGGUGGCAAGCGUUGUCCGGAAUUAUUGGGCGUAAAGCGCGCGCAGGCGGUUCUUUAAGUCUGAUGUGAAAGCCCACGGCUCAACCGUGGAGGGUCAUUGGAAACUGGAGAACUUGAGUACAGAAGAGGAAAGCGGAAUUCCACGUGUAGCGGUGAAAUGCGUAGAGAUGUGGAGGAACACCAGUGGCGAAGGCGGCUUUCUGGUCUGUAACUGACGCUGAGACGCGAAAGCGUGGGGAGCAAACAGG
rnacentral:rRNA from 1 species